rnacentral:rRNA from 1 species
UAUGUGAUCGUCUCUCGCAUAUCAAUAAGCGGAGGAAAAGAAACUAACUAAGGAUUCCCCUAGUAACGGCGAGUGAAGCGGGAAGAGCUCAAAUUUGAAAUCUUAAAGGGUUUCCCUUUACGAAUUGUAGUUUAAAGAAGUGUUUUCUGUUGAGGUUUUGGUAAAAGUUCUUUGGAAUAGGACAUCAUAGAGGGUGAGAAUCCCGUAUUUGACCUUUACUUUCAACUUUGUGAUACACUUUCAAAGAGUCGGAUUGUUUGGGAAUGCAGUCCAAAAUGGGUGGUAAAUUUCAUCUAAAGCUAAAUAUUGGCGAGAGACCGAUAGCGAACAAGUACCGUGAGGGAAAGAUGAAAAGAACUUUGAAAAGAGAGUUAAACAGUACGUGAAAUUGUCAAAAGGGAAGCGUUUGACACCAGUGUUGUUUUUCUGAAAAUCAAUUAAAGAACUGUUUAUGCUAAGCUGUUUAGACUUUAUCAGCUAAUCUGUUUAGUUUUGAGCUUUUCUUUAAUGCACUUUUCAGUUAACAAGUCAACAUCAAUUUCUUUUGCUGUAAAAAAGCUUGAGGAAGGUGGCUUCGAGAUUCGUCUUAAGUGUUUAUAGCCUCUUGCCUAUGCAGUCGGAGAGAUUGAGGUCUGCAGCGUAGAUCCUUCGGGGCUAAAUGCAUUUGUGCUAAGUUAUAACAUUUUAUAGACAACUUGUUGACUAUGAUUUGUCUUGUAGCUUACUCGCUUAUGUUAUUUUACCUACGCUUAGGAUGUUGAGUAGCGACAUACGCAC